rnacentral:lncRNA from 1 species
CAAAAGAAGUGAAAACGCCCUGCCCCGCCUUAACUGAUGACAUUCCACCAUUGUGAUUUGUUCCUGCCCCACCUUAGCUGAGUGAUUAACCCUGUGAAUUUCCUUCUCCUGGCUCAGAAGCUCCCCGACUGAGCACCUUGUGACCCCCGCCCCUGCCCACCAGAGAACAACCCCCUUUGACUGUAAUUUUCCAUUACCUUCCCAAAUCCUAUAAAACGGCCCCACCCCUAUCUCCCUUCGCUGACUCUCUUUUCGGACUCAGCCCGCCUGCACCCAGGUGAAAUAGACAGCCAUGUUGCUCACACAAAGCCUGUUUGCUGGUCUCUUCACACUGACUCGAGUGAAAUUUGGUGCCGUGACUAGGAUCGGGGGACCUCCCUUGGGAGAUCAAUCCCCCGUCCUCCUACACUUUGCUCUGUGAGAAAGAUCCACCUACAACCUCAGGUCCUCAGACCAACCAGCCCAAGAAACAUCUCACCAAUUUCAAAUCCGUGAUAGAUCACAACAAGAGAUCAUGAAGAGGGCAUGGCCGCCAUGUCAUUCUGGAGAGAGACAGAGUAAAACAAAGAAGGCAAUAACCAGACACGGGACUGAGGCCAUCCAUGACCAGCCAGCCCUAGCCAACACACAACACACAAGCUGAUCACAGAUGCAUGAGUAAGCCUGAGACCAGCCAAGACCAGCCUAGAAUAGAACUGCUCAGCAGCAAUAAAAACUAAAUAAAUUGUUACCUUAAGCUACUUUUAGAGCUAUUUGGAAGUGUAUUUUUGUGCAGCUAACAUUUACUAGCAGAUAAAAUGGUGAUUGUUUAUCUCUGUUUUAUUGAUGUUUUAAGGAAAUUGUUUCUAUUAAAAGGAAAUAUCUGGUCUUUGUCACGUUAAAUCAGGUUUAGCCUGAAGUUGUCUCCUUAAAUUUGCGGCACAACUCCCACCCUGCAAUACUUCAAAUUGUUUCACCUUUUUUGACAGAACCAAGGUAUAUCUUAAAUGUACUUGAUUGAUGUCUCAUGUCUCCCUAAAAUGUAUAAAACCAAACUGUGCUCUGACUACCUUGGGUACAUGUUCUGAGGGUCUCCUGAAGGCUGUGUCACAGGCCAUGGUCUUUCAUAUUUGGCUUAAAACAAAUCUCUUCAAAUAUUUUAUGUAGUUUGACUCUUUUCCUCAAUAGAACUCAUCAUUUAACCAGUUAAGUAUUUUGAGUUAGUUUGGGAUUAAACACGAGAGUUUUGACAGGGAGCUGAAACAAUAGUAGUUUCAUCAAAAGUUGAUUCUUGGUGCAUGUAAUUUUCUAUUACAGUGAACACAGAUAAUAAUGAUGCAUAUGUCUUUACCUAGAUUAGAGAAAGGAAGAGAAAAAAUAAAAAUUUUGGAAAUGAGAUAAAAAGAUAUUGAUCUCACUGAUGUUUCUGAAUCUAAGACUGAACUCAAUUAUUAGUUGUAUUUACUGCUUAUUAGAUUUACUAAGAAAGUUCUUUAAGGUACUUACAGCCCUAAAAUUAUUUGCAAUAUUCAAUAGCAAGGGACUUAAAUACAGUCCUGAUUACUCCAUCACAAAAUGCCAAAAACAAUUAGGAUCUUAAAGGAACUACCCAAAUAGGUUUAAGAUAUCACUCAGGCCAUAAAAAUGUUUUUAAAAUUCACAUCACAAAAUAGCCAAAUGACAUAUCAGAAACAAAAGCAAAAAAGUCAUCCUAAUUCAAGGCAAUUACUUUAGCAAUUCAAAAUAAAAUGUUAAAAGUGACCAAAAAACAAAUGCAAAAUAUUUUAAUGACUUUAAAUGGCUGUAUAAUUUCCUCAUCACUUCACUUGGCAGAGUUAAGAUGGCAUUUAACCUAAGUUCACAUCAUUAAAAAAAACACUGCACCAUGAUGCUUUUCUUAAUAUGCAUUCUCAAAUUAGCAUACAGAGAAAAAUGAAACUAUAGUAGAGACGUAAAUUUAAUCCCUAUUUAGGUCACUAGGCAUUUAUUAGCCCCACCACAGGUUAAUACACUUGCAUUUGCAUCUGUUUCUAAAUGCUAAUUAUCUGACCUCAGAACACUCACUUAUGGGCUUCAUUUAUUGAAAAACAAAUCCCUAUGAUUUGAUCGUAGAGUAACUUUUAAUGUCUAACUUUACGUAGUAUAUUACAGUUUUCAAAACAUUUUUAUAAAAAGUAUUUUGUUUAUUUACAGCAACUAUAUAUCAUAGAUAUUAAUGUGUAUAUUUUGCAUUUAAGCAAGUUGGAGUUCGUAAGGUUGAAUUACUUGAAAUGUACAAAUAGAUAGUAGUGAAUAUUUAAAGUACAUUUUUAAAAAUAUGACCCAGAAAAAUAGGUGGCAUUUAAGAAAUAUAAGCAUGGUAUCUAUCUUACAUGUAUAUUAGGAGUGGACAGUUUUCUAAGAUUAGAAGCAAACAGUUGUCAAGCAAGGGUUCUAAUUUUUGUAAGUCUUGUGGGAAAGAAAGAUAAUAGAGGGUUUCAUUGCAAAGAUAUAAAACUACUCUAGAUAAUUUAAGCAAAAACUAAUCUAAUAAAUUGGGUUUUCCAAAUUAUUGAAACACCUUGAGAACUAGUGCCUGGGUAGGCCUGGAGAAAUGACUCCAGGAACAGCAUUACAGAACUCACCUGCCCAGUGGUAACAGUGCCCAGAUUGCUCUUCUCCAUUAUCCAGCCAGAGUUCCAGAUCAGCCUGAAUACUUCACCUCUGGGAAGACUUUGCAGAACCUCCAGAUUUAUGCCACCUCUAUAACCUGUGUAAUAUUAUUACAAUGCAUAUUAUGUUCUAUUUCACUUACAGUCAGCCCUCCUUAUCUGUGGGUUCCACAAACAUGGAUUCAACCCACAGUAAAAUGAAAAUAUUUGGGGAAAAAAUUAAUGUUUGAGUCUGUAUUGAACACGUAGACUUUUUCUUGUCACUGUUCCCUAAACAAUACAGUAUAACAACUAUUUACAUAGUAUUUACAUUAUAUUGGGCAUUAUAAGUAAUUAAAGAUGAUUUAAGUAUAUGGAAAGAUGUAUAUAGGUUAUAUGCAAGUACUGUGCCAUUUUAUAUAAAGCACUUGAACAUCACAGAUUUUGGUAUCAAUGAGGGGUGCUGAAACCAAUUGCCCAUGGAUACCAAGAGACAGCUAUAUUUGUUUCAAUGUGUACCUCUCCUUCUAAACUCAGUUCUUAAGCAUAUAGUAUCUUUAUAGCUAUACACCUAGUGUCUAUCAGACCCUAAACUAUGGUAGGCCCUCAAUACAUUUUAUUGUUAUAGGUAGAUAGAUAGGCAUGAGUAGGGCAGGAGAGGGCUCUCCCUCCACCCACUAGAAAUGUCAAGUGAUGUUUUAAAAAUUGUCACACUGCCUCUCAGAAAAUGAUAAUUCAGCAACCGGGGAGAGACAAUCUUCUGAUGGUCCACACCUAUUAACAUUAAAGUGUUAUUAAAGGCAGACCCCAGAAAGAAGAAACUUACUGGGCAUGCACAUUAAGAGAUAAAAACGGCAAAAUAUUAUCUUCCACGUACCCACAACUGGAAAAAAGGAAGAAAGCUUCAGGUGGGCAUAUGUACUCUUCCUAAACACACUGCGCAUGCUCACUUCCCAACUGUAGAGAGGGCUCUGCACAUACGGGAAGAAUCUCGGGAAAGAGGUGAACCUAUAAAAGGCCAAGAAUCAUGGUUGAACGGGACAUUUGACCUUCUCUCUUAAACCUUCAUGUGCCUGCUUGGGUCUCUUCCAACUGCACCUUCCUUUCUUUCCUGUUCUAAGGCCUUUUUAAAUAAACUUCCACUCAUGCUCUG